ACCGUAGUAAUUCUAGAGCUAAUACAUGCAAAAAAUCCGGACCUUUUAGGGAUGGAUGAAUUUAUUAGAUUAGAACCAGCGCAAAGUCUUUUGGCUUUGAGUUAUGGUGAUUCAUAAUAACUAAUCGAAUCGCAGAGACUUUUAGUCGGCGAUGAUACAUACAAAUUUCUGCCCUAUCAACUUUCGAUGGUAGUAUAGAGGACUACCAUGGUUGUAACGGGUAACGGGGAAUUAGGGUUCGAUUCCGGAGAGGGGGCCUGAGAGAUGGCCACCACUUCCAAGGAAGGCAGCAGGCGCGCAAAUUACCCAAUCCCAAUUCGGGGAGGUAGUGACAAGAAAUACCAGUACAGGGCCCAAUGGGUACUGUGAUUGGAAUGAAUACAAUUUAAAAAUCUUAAUGAGGAACGAUUGGAGGGCAAGUCUGGUGCCAGCAGCCGCGGUAAUUCCAGCUCCAAUAGUGUAUAUUAAAGUUGCUGCAGUUAAAAAGCUCGUAGUUGGAUUUCGGAUAAUAAAAAUUUAAUAUCCAUCCUUAAAAUGUGAUUUAAUUUUUAUUUCCUUCCUUUUGAAUACACUCCCUAAACUUUUUUAGGGAAUCAAGUGUUUCAAAUCGUUUACUGUGAAGAAAUUAGAGUGUUCAAAGCAGGCGUAACCUAGCCUUUGAAUAUAUUAGCAUGGGAUAAUGAAAUAGGACUUUAGUCCUACUUUCGUUGGUUUCUAGGGCUGAAGUAAUGAUUAAUAGGGAUAGUUGGGGUCACUAGUAUUUAAUUGUCAGAGGUGAAAUUCUAAGAUUUAUUAAAGACUAACUACUGCGAAAGCAUUUGACAAGGAUGUUUUCAUUAAUCAAGAACGAAAGUUGGGGGAUCGAAGAUGAUCAGAUACCGUCGUAGUCUCAACCAUAAACUAUGCCGACCAAGGAUCCGGGGUUGUUAAUAUGGAUGACUCUCCGGGCACUUAUAGAGAAAUCAUAAGUAUUUGGGCUCCGGGGGGAGUAUGGUCGCAAGGCUGAAACUUAAAGGAAUUGACGGAAGGGCACCACAAGGAGUGGAACCUGCGGUUUAAUUUGACCCAACACGGGGAAACUUACCAGGUCCAGACACAGUGAGGAUUGACAGAUUGAGAGUUCUUUCUUGAUUCUGUGAGUGGUGGUGCAUGGCCGUUUCUAGUUGGUGGAGUGAUUUGUCUGGUUAAUUCCGUUAACGAACGAGACCUUAACCUAUUAAAUAGUUGUUUGAACUUGAUUUUUUAAAUCAAAUGUUCAAUUAACUUCUUAGAGGGACUCU
rnacentral:rRNA from 1 species